GGUCUCCAACUCCUGAGCUCCGGCAAUCCGCCCACCUCGGCCUCCCAAAGUGCAAGGAUUACAGGCGUUUUUUAAAGCUUGACUUCGCAGCUAUAUCGUACAUUCUUAUGUGGCUUGCAGGUUUCCAGGCUAGCGCUGCAGGGCAUGCCCCAGCCUUAUCCUUCAGCUGUGUUCUAUCAUCUGCAACAGCCCAGCCAUGUCGUUCUGCCCUUUUCCCAUCCUGAUUUCUCUGGAGGAUUUAAGAAGCAAACAGAAAUAGAGCCAAGGAUGGAGAAACUGAGGCCACCUGACUUGCCAAGCUGCGACUUCUAAUCCUCUUGGCUACCCCACUGGUCUGGUUCAACCUGAGCUCGCACUGAUUUUUUUGGAUUUGACGUCAAGGCAAACAUCAUUGCAAACUCAAUUCCAGCAUGCCAGCUCCAGAGCACCGUAACCUUUAAAAACUUGGGAUUUCGCCGGGCGCGGUGGCUCACACUUGUAAUCCCAGCACUUCGGGAGGCCGAGGCGGGUGGAUCACCUGAGGUCAGGAAUUUGAGAUCAGCCUGCACAACAUGGUGAAACCCCGUCUCUACUAAUAAUAAAAAAAAAGCCAGGCAUGGUGGCAUGCGCCUGUAGUCCCAGCAACUCGGGAGGCUGUGGCAGGAGAAUUGCUGGAACCCGGGAGGUGGAGGUUGCAGCGAGCCAAGAUCGCACCACUGCGACAGAGAGAGACUCCGUCUCAAAAAAGAAAAAAAAAGACUUGGGAUUUCAGGAGAAAUGUUAUAGUAGCAUUCCAGAGGCCCACGCAUCAGACACAGACAUAUGCACUCUUUGCAGCAGAGGGUAUUGGCUUCACCCUAUCAUAUAAGUUGGCUCCCUAACUUAUAUUCUGCAAAGCCCUGGUGGCUAAUCCUUUACAACCAAACAGGUCACAGCCAAACAGGUCAUCUCAGUUUGAAGAUCAUCAACAAAGGGGUUAGGUUUGCUCUUGUAGUUGUCACUCCCUUGGGAUUGGUAAACAGACCUGCAGAAGUAGUUGUGAAAAGGGAAGCAGAAGUACU